rnacentral:rRNA from 1 species
AGAGUUUGAUCCUGGCUCAGGAUGAACGCUAGCUACAGGCUUAACACAUGCAAGUCGAGGGGCAGCAUGGUCUUAGCUUGCUAAGGCCGAUGGCGACCGGCGCACGGGUGAGUAACACGUAUCCAACCUGCCGUCUACUCUUGGACAGCCUUCUGAAAGGAAGAUUAAUACAAGAUGGCAUCAUGAGUCCGCAUGUUCACAUGAUUAAAGGUAUUCCGGUAGACGAUGGGGAUGCGUUCCAUUAGAUAGUAGGCGGGGUAACGGCCCACCUAGUCUUCGAUGGAUAGGGGUUCUGAGAGGAAGGUCCCCCACAUUGGAACUGAGACACGGUCCAAACUCCUACGGGAGGCAGCAGUGAGGAAUAUUGGUCAAUGGGCGAGAGCCUGAACCAGCCAAGUAGCGUGAAGGAUGACUGCCCUAUGGGUUGUAAACUUCUUUUAUAAAGGAAUAAAGUCGGGUAUGGAUACCCGUUUGCAUGUACUUUAUGAAUAAGGAUCGGCUAACUCCGUGCCAGCAGCCGCGGUAAUACGGAGGAUCCGAGCGUUAUCCGGAUUUAUUGGGUUUAAAGGGAGCGUAGAUGGAUGUUUAAGUCAGUUGUGAAAGUUUGCGGCUCAACCGUAAAAUUGCAGUUGAUACUGGAUAUCUUGAGUGCAGUUGAGGCAGGCGGAAUUCGUGGUGUAGCGGUGAAAUGCUUAGAUAUCACGAAGAACUCCGAUUGCGAAGGCAGCCUGCUAAGCUGCAACUGACAUUGAGGCUCGAAAGUGUGGGUAUCAAACAGGAUUAGAUACCCUGGUAGUCCACACGGUAAACGAUGAAUACUCGCUGUUUGCGAUAUACUGCAAGCGGCCAAGCGAAAGCGUUAAGUAUUCCACCUGGGGAGUACGCCGGCAACGGUGAAACUCAAAGGAAUUGACGGGGGCCCGCACAAGCGGAGGAACAUGUGGUUUAAUUCGAUGAUACGCGAGGAACCUUACCCGGGCUUAAAUUGCAGAUGAAUUACGGUGAAAGCCGUAAGCCGCAAGGCAUCUGUGAAGGUGCUGCAUGGUUGUCGUCAGCUCGUGCCGUGAGGUGUCGGCUUAAGUGCCAUAACGAGCGCAACCCUUGUUGUCAGUUACUAACAGGUUCCGCUGAGGACUCUGACAAGACUGCCAUCGUAAGAUGUGAGGAAGGUGGGGAUGACGUCAAAUCAGCACGGCCCUUACGUCCGGGGCUACACACGUGUUACAAUGGGGGGUACAGAAGGCAGCUACCUGGCGACAGGAUGCUAAUCCCAAAAACCUCUCUCAGUUCGGAUCGAAGUCUGCAACCCGACUUCGUGAAGCUGGAUUCGCUAGUAAUCGCGCAUCAGCCACGGCGCGGUGAAUACGUUCCCGGGCCUUGUACACACCGCCCGUCAAGCCAUGGGAGCCGGGGGUACCUGAAGUGCGUAACCGCGAGGAGCGCCCUAGGGUAAAACUGGUGACUGGGGCUAAGUCGUAACAAGGUAGCCGUACCGGAAGGUGCGGCUG